CGUAGGGUGCGAGCGUUAAUCGGAAUUACUGGGCGUAAAGCGUGCGCAGGCGGUUUGUUAAGAUAGGCGUGAAAUCCCCGGGCUCAACCUGGGAACUGCGCUUAUGACUGGCAAGCUAGAGUACGGCAGAGGGGGGUGGAAUUCCACGUGUAGCAGUGAAAUGCGUAGAGAUGUGGAGGAACACCAAUGGCGAAGGCAGCCCCCUGGGUCGAUACUGACGCUCAUGCACGAAAGCGUGGGUAGCAAACAGGAUUAGAUACCCUGGUAGUCCACGCCCUAAACGAUGUCAACUAGGUCGUUGGGAGGGUAAAACCUUUUAGUACCGGAGCUAACGCGUGAAGUUGACCGCCUGGGGAGUACGGCCGCAAGGUUA
rnacentral:rRNA from 1 species